ACGCAGGAGCAUCCGACCAAUCUCUCCCCUCGGGGGAAACAUGCCCUGCAGGGUCAGAAAAAGAGAGGUACAUACAGGUGGCCCCAAGGCUGGGGCAGGGUGGGGAACCGAAGCUUGGUGCAGUUAAGUGGGAGAUCGCAAUUGAAUUCUCACAAACCACACAUCUCAGACACAAAACCUUGAAACUGCCAAUCAAAAACUAAUAUGUGAAGAACACCAUGAGCUUGACUAAAGCAUCCAAAGGGAGCCAGGAAUUCACAAUUGUAGCAUUAACCACCAGAUUUUCUCAUGCCGCUGAAUUUCGGUUUGGUUCGUAGCUUAACACUCUAAACCCACUCGGUCGCCUGGCACUACACACACCAGACCCAGAGCGAGUAGCCCCACUGUGCAUCUGAACCCUUCUGAACACCCCUGGCUUUUGAGUUCAGAUUUGGCUGAAAGCCAGGGGUACCCACAGGCAGUUUUUAUGGUUUGGGACUGUGUUUGCCAUGUUUAAGUAAUGACCACUCAGCCCUAUGUCUAAAACACAGAUUCAGGACACUCUUUCCACCUCAAGUGCUGAUUUAAAUUAAAGCUUAGGGUAGAGUGGGUCUUGCACAAUACAAUUCCAUUUGUUGAACAUUUUUUUAAAAUGUAUAUAUUAGAUACUGAACAACUAAAGUGAACCUUUGAAGCGUCUCAAGGUUGCCCUGGUAAUGCUGCUCGUAUAGUAACAGAAAAAAAAAUAAAAUACACAGGGUAUCUGAUGCCACCUCGAGUCAAGUGCAUAUUUGGCGAUUCUUGAAACCACAGGGCACAGUUAGUUGCUUAUUCUGCUCUCCUGUCUUGAAAACCCUGGCGCAGGUCUGGCAGGGUCCUUGAGGAAACUUUAAGGUCGUCUUCGUUAUCAAUGUUCUUUCCUUUCCCGCCCCCCACCCCAGCCUGGGCUUUGCCAUAGCUCUUGCGGAGUGCCACAUUCUAGAACAAGCUUUCUCAAGCUUAAAUCUGUUGACAUCUUGGGCCAGAUGACUCACUGUUGUUGGGGGCUGCCCUGUGCGUUUUUAGGAUGUUUAGUGACAUCGUUGGCCUCUAGCCGCUAAAUGCCAACAGCAACACCCUAUAACAACAGAUUGUCUCCAGGCAUUGCCAAAGGUCCCCAGGGAGUGGGGAAGGGACAAAACGUCACCUGGUUGAGGAUCAAUGGUUUAGGAUAAUCAGCACAGAGUGGUUUCUGCCCACGUGGCAUACCAAGCAAGCUCUGGCUGGGCCUGUGGCUUGGGUGAGCCUCUAAGCCCUUUGGGACAUGCACAGUCAGCAGCCCCAAGGGAGACAGGUCAACCUCCCCCCAGUGGAGUGAUGCUUCUAUGGUCAUAGGUCCACCCCCACGACAUACUUCUUUAGUCUCAUCAGCUGGGUUUUCAUUUAAAAUGGUCAGCCUCUCCUCCCUGGAAGCACCUCCAGUCAUCGAGAAAGAGUUGUCAUUUCCAAAGCUAACGUGUUGACAAGUCGGACCCGACACUUCUCACGUACACUGUGCUUGUGUAUGAUACAAACAGCCAUGCUGGCGCCAUCGGAGGAAGAACAUCCCGCCGCCUUCCCUUAGAACACCAAUUUGCAGCAAGGUUGGUGCCUUUUGUUGCCACCAUGGAUACAUCAUAUAGACAGUCAUGAAUCAUUCAUGAACAAUUCUGCAUGAUUUAUUCCUGCACUCCAAAGCAAAGGCAUUCCAUACUUCAGCUUGUGUCUAGACAGAGAUGUAUUAUAGAGCUUGCUUUGCCCUGAGGUUGCCUGGUGCCAGCUUCAAAACUCCACACUCUUGGAAAGAAAUAAUAAUAAUAAAUGACAGGAAUAAGGUUUGAAACCCAGAAAAUAUCAUUAAUAGAGCCAUGUAGCAUAGUACCCUCUCUAUUAUUAAGGAGUUACUAUGUCCUUUCUAGGAAACAGAGAGUGCAACUGGGGAGCCAGGCGUCAAUUUGCAUCAAAGUCUUGGCACAGUGAUAGUUGCAGCAAGAACUUACUAGAAUGGAGUGUAAUAUCCAUCAAGAAGCUCUUUGCAGAGUUUGUGGAAUGAAGGCUACUCUGUGGUCUCUGUUACCAGCCAGAGAGAGGGAUUUUUCUAUUAUUAUUAUUAUUUUUGUCGUUGUUGUUGUUGUUGGAUUUUCUUUUUCCUCUGAGUUUCACUACACGCUGUUUCCUUUAAGACUUUGUAGCACUGACAUUUUUCUCCCUGUAGGGAGAGAUGAACCUAUACUGUGACAGAAUUUCUCAUAAACCGAUAAACAUUUUACAACUUCCUUCUACCCAGGUCAUUGAGAAAUUCUUUCCAAACUCUGAACAACAGAGUUCUGGUCUCAUCUGUUUCGUUUUCUUUUUUUUUCUCUUGAAGGCUUUGUUUGCAGCUCCACUGUCCAUGUCUCCCAUUCCUCCUCUGUCCUUGGUUCUCGGCUUUAACUACAGCUUUGUUUAAAUAAGGGAUCAACAUCCUGUUUGUCAGCUGAUGCCUGUUAAAAAAAACGAUUCAGUUUCCAAAAUCUUUGAAAAAUGGUGUGCCUGAAAACUAGUGAGGAAAAAAAAAAAAAAAAAAA
rnacentral:lncRNA from 1 species